AGAGUUUGAUCAUGGCUCAGGACGAACGCUGGCGGCGUGCUUAACACAUGCAAGUCGAACGGAAAGGCCCUUCGGGGUACUCGAGUGGCGAACGGGUGAGUAACACGUGGGUGAUCUGCCCUGCACUUUGGGAUAAGCCUGGGAAACUGGGUCUAAUACCGAAUAUGACCAUGCACUUCCUGGUGUGUGGUGGAAAGCUUUUGCGGUGUGGGAUGGGCCCGCGGCCUAUCAGCUUGUUGGUGGGGUAAUGGCCUACCAAGGCGACGACGGGUAGCCGGCCUGAGAGGGUGACCGGCCACACUGGGACUGAGAUACGGCCCAGACUCCUACGGGAGGCAGCAGUGGGGAAUAUUGCACAAUGGGCGCAAGCCUGAUGCAGCGACGCCGCGUGAGGGAUGACGGCCUUCGGGUUGUAAACCUCUUUCAGCACAGACGAAGCGCAAGUGACGGUAUGUGCAGAAGAAGGACCGGCCAACUACGUGCCAGCAGCCGCGGUAAUACGUAGGGUCCGAGCGUUGUCCGGAAUUACUGGGCGUAAAGAGCUCGUAGGUGGUUUGUCGCGUUGUUCGUGAAAACUCACAGCUUAACUGUGGGCGUGCGGGCGAUACGGGCAGACUUGAGUACUGCAGGGGAGACUGGAAUUCCUGGUGUAGCGGUGGAAUGCGCAGAUAUCAGGAGGAACACCGGUGGCGAAGGCGGGUCUCUGGGCAGUAACUGACGCUGAGGAGCGAAAGCGUGGGGAGCGAACAGGAUUAGAUACCCCGGUAGUCCAA
rnacentral:rRNA from 1 species